ACUCAAAGGAAUAGACGGGGACCCGCACAAGCGGUGGAUGAUGUGGAUUAAUUCGAUGCAACGCGAACAACCUUACCUACCCUUGACAUGUCUGGAAUCCUGCUGAGAGGCGGGAGUGCUCGAAAGAGAACCGGAACACAGGUGCUGCAUGGCUGUCGUCAGCUCGUGUCGUGAGAUGUUGGGUUAAGUCCCGCAACGAGCGCAACCCUUGUCCCUAGUUGCUACGCAAGGGCACUCUAGGGAGACUGCCGGUGACAAACCGGAGGAAGGUGGGGAUGACGUCAAGUCCUCAUGGCCCUUAUGGGUAGGGCUUCACACGUCAUACAAUGGACGGUACAGAGGGUUGCCAAACCGCGAGGUGGAGCCAAUCCCAGAAAGCCGUUCGUAGUCCGGAUUGCAGUCUGCAACUCGACUGCAUGAAGUCGGAAUCGCUAGUAAUCGCGGAUCAGCAUGUCGCGGUGAAUACGUUCCCGGGUCUUGCACACACCGCCCGU
rnacentral:rRNA from 1 species